GAUGAACGCUGGCGGCGUGCCUAAUACAUGCAAGUCGAGCGAACAGACGAGGAGCUUGCUCCUCUGACGUUAGCGGCGGACGGGUGAGUAACACGUGGAUAACCUACCUAUAAGACUGGGAUAACUUCGGGAAACCGGCGCUAAUACCGGAUAAUAUAUUGAACCGCAUGGUUCAAUAGUGAAAGACGGUUUUGCUGUCACUUAUAGAUGGAUCCGCGCCGCAUUAGCUAGUUGGUAAGGUAACGGCUUACCAAGGCGACGAUGCGUAGCCGACCUGAGAGGGGGGUCGGCCACACUGGAACUGAGACACGGUCCAGACUCCUACGGUAGGCAGCAGUAGGGAAUCUUCCGCAAAGGGCGAAAGCAUGACGGAGCAGCGCCGCGUGAGUGAUGAAGGUCUUCGGAUCGUAAAACUCUGUUAUUAGGGAAGAACAAAUGUGUAAGUAACUAUGCACGUCGUGACGGUACCUAAUCAGAAAGCCACGGCUAACUACGUG
rnacentral:rRNA from 1 species